rnacentral:lncRNA from 1 species
CCUGUCCCUGGGCGUGCGAGGAGGUGGGGCCCUGGGAGGUAAUUAGGUCCCCAGGGCGGAGCCUUCCGGAAGGGAAAGCAGUCAGUGUCCCCAGCGAGGACUCGGCGAGAAGAGGGUCACCUGUGGGUGCCUCGGUCGUGGACUUCUCAGCCUGCGGCAAACGGCGAGGAAACAUUUCCGUGCCCGCAGUUCCUCUUCCCGGGCCCGAGCGAGCGAGCGGGGUGCGCCCGAGGCCACGCAGGUCCGCAGGGUCGCCCGCGUCCAGGUGAGCCGCGCGCGCAGCCCCGGCCCAGGUGUGGCGGCGGGACCCGCCAGGUAAGACCGAGGCCCCGGACUUGGGGGGCCGCAGACCGGAGCUGGGGGACCCCGUCGGCGGCCCCCACCCCACCCCACCCCACCCCACCCCAGGACUGCCCGGGGACCCCGAAGUUCCCAGAGGAACGAUUAAGGUGGCGCCCCCUCCACACCCCCCGCCGCUUCCAAGGCAACCGCUCAUUUGCAUACGGCCCCGUCCUGGCCAAUGGGGGCGCCCCAAAUGUGGGGGACCUGAGUGAGUCCCCAAAGGGGCUCGUCUGGGAACCGGGAAAGGCUGGGCUCGGCUGCCCCCCUGCCCGCCUUCCCCUAGGCAGGCGCCGGGGAGGGACGUACCCAUUCCCCGGAGGCGGCCACUGAGGCCGCGGGCGCCCAGCCAGGGCCCGCCAGGCGCGGCCUCCGCGUCGCCGUCCCGGGGCGGCCGCGGGGCUAUAAAUAACGACAAUAAUAAUAACCAGCCCGGGCCGCGAGGGCGAGCGCGACCGCAGGGCUGAGGCCAGGGCCCGGGUUGGGGUGUCUCCGCGCAGGCUCCCCGGAUGGAGGGCGCCGUGCUGUGGGCGUCGUCGCUGUGGCUGUGGCUGUCGCUGUCGCUGCUGCGGGGCCCGGGCGGCCAGGGCCUGUCCUGCAACGUGACCGCGGUGGACUGGGCGGCGGAGUUCGAGGCCGAGUGCCUGAACCUGAGCGGCCUGGGCGUGCGCCCCCCGCGCAACGGCUCCCUGCGCGCGCGCCGCCUGGCGCUGCUCGACCUGUCGCGCAACGGGCUGCGGGAGCUGCCGCCGCCCGGCUUCUUCGCGCAGCUGCCGG